rnacentral:piRNA from 1 species
UAUGAAUGGUGGCACUCUUCUUUCCC